rnacentral:rRNA from 1 species
CACGUAGGGCGCAAGCGUUGUCCGGAAUUAUUGGGCGUAAAGAGCUCGUAGGCGGACUGUUGCGUCUGCUGUGAAAAGCUGGGGCUUAACCCUGGCCUUGCAGUGGAUACGGGCAGACUAGAGGUAGGUAGGGGAGAAUGGAAUUCCCGGUGUAGCGGUGAAAUGCGCAGAUAUCGGGAGGAACACCGGUGGCGAAGGCGGUUCUCUGGGCCUUACCUGACGCUGAGGAGCGAAAGCGUGGGGAGCGAAC